UACGAAGGGGGCUAGCGUUGCUCGGAAUCACUGGGCGUAAAGCGCACGUAGGCGGACUCUUAAGUCGGUGGUGAAAUCCUGGAGCUCAACUCCAGAACUGCCUCCGAUACUGGGGCUCUUGGAGUCCGGGAGAGGUGAGUGGAACUGCGAGUGUAGAGGUGAAAUUCGUAGAUAUUCGCAAGAACACCAGUGGCGAAGGCGGCUCACUGGCCCGGUACUGACGCUGAGGUGCGAAAGCGUGGGGAGCAAACAGG
rnacentral:rRNA from 1 species